CGAAUCGUAAAGGCAUUGAGGGGUGGGGGGGAGGGGGGAAGUGUGUAAUAAACAAUGAAAGUUAGUGAUACCUGUAAUAAAGAAAGGGAAAGUUAGUGUUACCUCAAGAUUGUGUGAAGUGAGAAGUGCAAGAUACCAAGACACCAAUAUCAUUGAACAUAGCUGAGUAAAAACUAAAAAAAAAAAAAAAAAUACGAAUCAAUAAUGGAAAUGUUUAUUUUUUUCCAGAUGAUGAUUUUUUUAUUUCCUCUGUUUUAAUGUCAUGUUAUAGGUGUGUUUCAGGGCUUUAAUUUGGUGUAUAUAACUUUACUCUAGCUUUAUUGUACGGCUAUUGACAUUUUCGUAAAAGUUACAAAACUUUGACCUUCAUUUCUAGCGAAUAUUGAUUUUGGCACUUAGUACUCUUCUGCCGCGGGGGGCCUCACAUAACCAAGACCAUAAUGAAACAUCUGAAGAAUAAAAGAGACAGGUGUGGUGUUAGGCAAAUACGCAUUGGUUUUUAGACACACCACUAAUUAGGAAUGAACAUGAGUAUUUGACUUCAGAGAUGUAAGUUAAGAAGAGAAUUGGGAUAUAAAUAGGGGAUAAUAUUAUAGACAAAUAUAGACAAAUUUAUGUACGAGAUGUCAAGUGUACAUAGAAUUGUUUCAUCCAGAGAGUACCAUAUGUAGGCUUUAUGGCUUCUUGCAGUUUCCUUUAUAUUGUGUUCAUAUAUAAAAUUUAAGUGUAUUCCAUGUGAUUUCCCUACCGCCCCCCUCCCUGGUUUGAGAGUUUUGGGGGUUAGCGUUCUGUUUUGCCAGCGAUAGAGGCCUGCUGGGACUCUCCUGGCAAGCAGUUCAACACUAAUCUCUUAACCUAACCUAACCUAACCAAACCUUUAAAAACCAGGGAGCCACAGAUGUUGUUGUCUGUGCGCAUGUCAUUGAGGGGGGCGCAGAGCAUUAUGCACGUGUCCUAAUUCUUCCUGGUCCUUGGUUACUUGGAAGGUCUUGACCGUGCUACAUGCAAGUUUGGAAAGUUUCAAAGCAUUGAUCAGAGUUUACAAGAUUAGUAUAGCAAGCUUAGUAGAUUUCUUUUUGUAAGAAGGCCUUCUUAAUGCCAGGUUUCAUAGAAAUGAUGAAGAAAGUCAAAGCAAGCCGAAAGGAUGCAGUCACCGCCAGUGUGAACGCCCUUUCUGACAUGAAUCCGUCCAUUGAGAAGGCAAGCUGAUUAGUGUGUUUGGCAGCAUUGGCACCAAGAAAAGCUCCUUCAUCUCAGCUGGUCGUGGAGACGUUUCAUAGAAAUGAUGAAGAAAGUCAAGGCAAGCCGAAAGGAUGCAGUCACCACCAGUGUGGACGCCCUUUUUGACAUGAAUCUGUCCAUCGAGAAGGCAAGCUGAUUAGUGUGUUUGGCAGCACUGGCACCAGGAAAAGCUCCUUGAUCUCAGCUGAUCGUGGAGAUGUUUCAUAGAAAUGAUGAAGAAAGUCAAGGCAAGCCGAAAGGAUGCAGUCACCGCCAGUGUGGACGCCCUUUUUGACAUGAAUCCGUCCAUUGAGAAGGCAAGCUGAUUAGUGUGUUUGGCAGCACUGGCACCAGGAAAAGCUCCUUGAUCUCAGCUGGUCGUGGAGAUGUUUCAUAGAAAUGAUGAAGAAAGUCAAGGCAAGCCGAAAGGAUGCAGUCACCGCCAGUGUGGACGCCCUUUCUGACAUGAAUCCGUGUAUUGAGAAGGCAAGCUGAUUAGUGUGUUUGGCAGCACUGGCACCAGGAAAAGCUCCUUGAUCUCAGCUCAUCGUGGAGAUGUAAGGCUCUGUUUUUCCUUUUCAUUUCUUUCAUCCUGUAUAUAUGUUCCUCAGAUCUUCUUUUAUCUGCAUUAUCAUUUAAUUUAAUACCUUUAUUUUUCUGUUAUGUGGUUUUUCCCACUUUUGCGGUCAUAGAUGUCUUGUUUGACGUUGCUUCUUUUUUCAUUUCUUCCUCCAUAUAUCUUCUCUUUUUUAGUUUUUUAUAAACAUACAUUUUCAUAUCCAUAUUUGGGUAACAUCACUAUUAGAGCUUGUAUUACAGGGAUAAGUCUUGCAUUUUGGCAUGAAAAAUUGACUCUGGCAAUAUGGCAUUUUAUAAUAUAUAUAAAUAGAUAUAUGUCAUAUGAUGUUUGUCAGGCUGUUUGAAAACAAAUUUAUUAGAAUUUAUUUGCAUCAUUACUGGAGUGCUUUUUGAGAACAUCAAAACUACUAAAGAUUACAUAACCAAGACCAUAAUGAAAUAUCUGAAGAAUAGAAAAAUAAUAGUAGGCAAAUAUGCAUUGGUUUUUAGACACACUCCAGUAAUUAGAGACGUCGCAGUGAGGCUGGUAGAUACCUAUCAGCGCCAGCAUUUUUAAUUGUCUCCGAUUUCCUGGGGCAAAGGGGUAUCUUAGCUAAAUUUGAAAUCGAUGUGCAGGAAAAGUACAGCAUGAAUUGCUGCACAAGUGUAUCUAAAAUUAAAAACAUAACCCUUAAUAUUAAUUUUCAUACUUACUGGUGUAUGAUAAGGCUUUGUUAAUUGAAUUAUAAGAUAAAACUAAAAAUAGGUAAUGAUUUUUUUUUAAGUAAGUAUGAACAGUAAAAAUAAAAGGAUGUUGAUUUCGGCUUGUGCAUUUUAUCUGGGAAUGUUGAAAAAUAUCAGAUAUCACUGACACAUCCUGUAUAUGAAAGUAAUCAGUGAAAUAAAAAAAGAACAGCACCGCUGGCGGACGUACGACGUACUUAUCUUGAUCAUGAUUCUUCAGUUAAAGAAAGCGCCGCGCGCCUUUAGGAAGGAGUGUAAAGUGUAAAGAAUAGCCUCUCAGUUCUGCCGAUACAAAGGCCUUUACUUUGCUUUACUAUAUCCAGAAUAGGGUAUAGCUCGUUCUUUCAGGAAUUUUCUUAAUUCCGCUGUAGUCCAUGAUUGUGGCGGUGAUGUAUCCAUUGUGCAGGGUAGUCGAGUAAGCGUGGUCCUGUGUUUUGGUUUGCUCGCUGCCCAAGUACCCGAGGAUAGUGAUCGUACCGCAAAAAUAAAGUCUCUGAUACAAAUUUAUAUUUUCUUUACAUUAAAUGGAUUUGCCUGUUGUUUAGUACAUGAAAAUGCAAGUAUAUAUUAGUAUACUUCCAUUGAGGUCAGUAGAAAAUUACAGAUUGCCUGCCUUGAUACACUUAUAGGCUCUUUUAAGAAUAUCAUCUGAAAUUAUGAAUAGAGGCUCAAACAAUGUCAUGUGCUGUCAGUUAUCACGAAAUUAAUUGACUUAAAAUUCAGACGCAUUACUGUGCAACGAUACACCUUUGUUAGCUUGUAAAACCUUGCCUCAAAAAGUAUUUAUUUUCCGGCGAUAAUUAAAAAUUCUGGUGCUAUCUGGUAUCAAAACGCUCACUGCGAUGUCUCUAAUUAGGAAUGAACAUGAGUAUUUGACUUCAGAGGUGUAAGUUAAGAAGGGAUUUGGGAUAUAAAUAGGGGAUAAUAUUAUUGACAAAUAUAGACAAAUUUAUGUACAAGAUCUCAAGUGUACAUAGAAUUGUUUCAUGCAGAGAGUACCAUAUGUAGGCUUUAUGGCUUCUUGCAGUUUCCUUCAUAUUGUGUUCAUUUAUAAAAUUUAGGUGUAUUCCAUGUGAUUUCCCUACUGCCCCUCUUCCCUGGUAUGAGAGUUAUGGGGUUAGCGUUCUGUUUUGCCAGCAAUAGAGGCCUUCUGGGACUCUCCUGGCAAGCAGUUCAACACUAAUCUCUCAAUCUAACCAAACCUUUAACUGUAUGUAAAGCGUAUGUACCUCACGCCAUUAUUCCUCGGCAUUUAUAAGUGAAAUGUUCAAUAGUUUUCUAUUUGCAUGAAAACGUGUAAUAUGUGUAAGUAUCAGUAUUCAAUGCUAUAUUAAGCACCGAAGCCGAUGCUCAGUUGUUGGUAGUGUGGGGUUAACCUGCUAGUCGCCUGCGGGCAUCACUCACGGCCAAGUCGCACUCAGACAAAGACGGGCAGGAUGGUGACCGAGGUAAAUACUUUAAUUUUGUAGUUAAAACUGAUUGUCAUAGUGCCAAGUCAAUUGCAUGUAUUGUUAAUGAAUAUUGUAAUAUGUUGAAAGUGUUUGAUAUCAGUGUAUAAUGUUAUUUUGUAAGAAAUUGAGACCGAGAACUUGUUCGCAGUUCUUACGGUCAUGCCUACCUCAUCAAUAAACGUGUCAGGGAGAACUGCCUUUCCUCAACCCUACAAUGAUGGGUGUGAUCAGUAAAACAGAUCACCUGAGAGCCAAUUGAUGCCCAGCCGGUGCGGCUACAGUAAGAACUCGACCUAGAAGCAAGAAAUUGGCUCCAUGUGAAACCGUAGCAAGAGUGAGUCACAGGACGAGGGGACGCUGACGUAAGCCUAUAGGUUGACCUCUGAGGCCCUGGGGUCAGCUCUACCCUUGACGACAACCACUCCCUUCUACCUACUGUGCCUCGCCACCAUUUUGUAGAACCCAUGGUCACAGGCAAGAAAGUAUAAUAUUAUGUAUGUGCACUGAAUUGAGUAGCCUAAGUGAAAAUUACCGACAAUUAGCUAUUAUUAAGAGUGGUAAUUUUAAAUUGCUCUUUCAGUUUCUCGGUAUUGACACAAUUAAGUUGUUAGAUAUGUCUGAUACUGAGGAAAUUAAUGCCGUAGAUGGCCUUAGGGAAGGUGAGGGUGAGCAAGUGGACAAGGAUCAAACUUUUAUUGAAGAAGUUAGUGUCAGGGAGCGAGUGCUGACCGACAAAGGAAGAGAAUAUCAAGUCAGUGUAACCAAAGGAAGAGCAGAGUCCUGUAAGCGUAAAUGGAGCAGUGUUACCAUUAAAAUUAAGAAAGGAUUAAAAAUUGUAAUUAGCCCCUUUGAAUUAGAGCCCAUGUCAAGUGAAGUAAUAGAGGCAUUUCAUCAGUAUUAUGUGGAAUACACAAAACUGGUGGAACUAGAGCCAGAAAAGUCAGAGGAGCUAAAUGAAGAGCUGGAACACAAUCAACAAGUUCACCAUGAAAUAUUAGAAAGUAUAGAAUGUAAAAGAAAGGAGUUAAAGAAUGACAGAGGAUCAAUUUGUUCUAGCAAACGGUCUAGGCAUUCUAGAGUCUCAUCUACUUCAUCAUGUUCAUCAGCAGCACAAAGAAAGCAAGAAGCAGCAGCAAAGGUAGCCAGACUUAGAAAGGAAAUGGAAUAUCAUGAUAGUUUAGCAGAGGCAGAAGUUAGGUUAGCUAGAGACCAGGCAAUGUUUGCAAAGAAAAAGAAAGAGAGAGAUUUAGCAGUUGCUAGUGCAGAACUUAAUGCUCUUAGCUUAGUUGAAGAAGAAGUAAAAAUGCUUCCAGGUAAUGAUGAAAGUGUAGAGAAGCAAAGUUAUCUUCAACAAUACAUAGAGUCACAAAAUGAAAUGAAAGUACAAGCAAUUGCAAAUCAACAAAGUGACAAUGCCAUGCCUCACAAAUAUGAUACAUUCCAUGACCCACAGAAACCUUCUUGCAAUAGAGAUAAUGAAUUGAUGACAAAUGAAGUACAUGGACAAAUAUUUAGUGAACCUCAGGUAAUAAAUCUCAACCCUACAGCUCAAAGUCUUGUACCAAGCUCUCGUAGACACACUCAUAAUGUCAACAUGCCUAAUAAUGUGAAUAAUGUGAGACAGAAUCAUCAAUCCUUUUCCCUUCCUGGGGGAACCUUUGCAAUCAACAUACCUGAUCUCAAGUGGAGCCUCCCUCCAAUAGAGCCUAACACUUUUGAUGGAGAACCCAUGGAAUUUCCAAGUUGGUUGAAAAACUUUGAAACUUAUGUAGAGUCUAAAACUUCUAUUGGUAAAGAGAGACUUGCCUACUUAGACAGGUAUACAAAUGGUGAGGCAAAGGAUGCCAUUAAAAUGUUAAUGUACUUUAACUCUGAUGCUGACUAUGUGCAAGCAAAGAAAAUUCUCAGUGAUAGAUUUGGAAACAAAAGCAUCAUAGCUGAUGCUUACACAAAAAAGUUAAUGAAUUGGCUACCAAUCUCUCCGCAUAAUGGUCCAGCAUUAACAGCAUUCUCAGAUUUUUUGAAGUGCUGUUUAGCUGCAAUGAAACACACUUCUUAUUUGUCAUUUCUGAAUGACCCUAGAGAGCAGAAAAAGGUGCUAGCAAAACUCCCUGAACAUAUUGUUCAUGACUGGAGAAAGCAAGUGAUGAUAUAUCUUGAUACUAACAGUAAUAACAACACUUCUAGUAGCAAUGAAGAGCACCACCCACCCUUUGAAAUGUUAUGUGAAUUUGUCCAGAAAGAAGCAAAAGGAGCAAGCAAUCCAUUUCUUUCCUGGAAUUCAGUAAGUAGGGAAGUAAAUGACUGGAUCAAAAUUCACACAAGGGCAACCAAUUGGAAACCAAGGGAAUCCAACAUCAUGACAAAGAAUAGAGGGAGUAGAACUUUCAUGGCUAAAGCAAUUGAGGAAAAACCAAUGUGGUCAUUCCAAAGUAAAGUAAAUGUACAAGCCAACAAACAGUAUCCCAAGGACCAGGAAAGGAAAGGACGAUUCUGUCACUACUGU